rnacentral:lncRNA from 1 species
CCGAACCCGAGAAAAAGAAAGACGCGGAGAAACCUAAAGCCGACGCUCCCAAACAGGAAGCCGCUAAGCCCAAGGCCGAGCCCGAGAAGAAGAAAGACGGCGGCGAGAAGCCUAAGUCUGAGCCUGAGAAAAAGAAAGACGCGGAAAAGCCUAAAGCAGAGGCUCCCAAAAAGGAAGCCGAAAAACCCAAGGAAGCGGAAAAGCCCAAAGACAAGCCGGCACCUGCUGCGUUACCCGUUCAGCCACAUAUAGCACCACCGAUGGCGGUUCCAGUUGGGAUGCUCUAUGCUCCUGCUCCCUGCUAUGAAGGUAGGCCCGUUGGGCCUUUCUACGAAUACGGUGGGC